rnacentral:sRNA from 12 species
UAUGAUGAGCGGUAAGUCCGCUUUGGGUUGUUUGAGGUGUUCCCAUCCAUCUGGUUGGUUAAGCCUCAACGCAAAAAAUCCAGAGGGCGCGCUCAUU